CGGGAGGCAGCAGUGGGGAAUUUUCCGCAAUGGGCGAAAGCCUGACGGAGCAAUACCGCGUGAGGGAAGACUGCCUAUGGGUUGUAAACCUCUUUUUUCAGGGAGGAAUCAAUGACGUGUACCUGAAGAAUAAGCAUCGGCUAACUCCGUGCCAGCAGCCGCGGUAAGACGGAGGAUGCAAGUGUUAUCCGGAAUCACUGGGCGUAAAGUGUCUGUAGGUGGUUUAAUAAGUCAACUGUUAAAUCUUGAAGCUCAACUUCAAAAUCGCAGUCGAGACUAUUAGACUAGAGUAUAGUAGGGGUAAAGGGAAUUUCCAGUGGAGCGGUGAAAUGCGUAGAGAUUGGAAAGAACACCGAUGGCGAAGGCACUUUACUGGGCUAUUACUGACACUCAGAGACGAAAGCUAGGGUAGCAAAUGGGAUUAGAUACCCCAGUAGUCCUAGCUGUAAACAAUGGAUACUAGAUGUUGAACAGAUCGACCUGUGCAGUAUCAAAGCUAACGCGCUAAGUAUCCCGCCUGGGAAGUAUGCUCGCAAGAGUGAAACUCAAAGGAAUUG
rnacentral:rRNA from 1 species